rnacentral:lncRNA from 1 species
AUAAUCAAAUGCACGAGGUGAUCCAAUGGCAUCAUUGUUGUUGAUACUUUUAUAGUUGAGGUUCAAAGUUGAUGGGUAUAACUUUUUCUGGUGCCGACCAAAAACUUGUUUGUCAAUUUCGGUCGGUGGUUGACAUAAAACUUGAUGCCACUUUGGUAUUUCGGUUGCAAGAACAUUUCUCAAUGCAGGAGUGAGCACCUUGGUCAAACAUAAACCAAUGACAAUCCAUCUUCGUUCUUCGUUUGAUACGGGGGUUGUACUGGAGGCGCUAGCCAUUACUUAUCUACAAGAUUAAACUUAAAGUUCAGAAUAAUACUUUUAUGUCAAACUUGCACUGG